UAAAAAUCCACCAAAAGCAAGUUUAAAAGAUGAGUUUUUAACUGUUUUUGAAAAGCGACCACUGAGUCCACAGAUCUCAGGCUCAAAGGGAGAAAGUUCCACAGUCUGGCAGCCACAGUUACAAAAGCUCUGUCGCCUUUUGUUUUCAGCCUCGUGUGUUGGACAACCAGCAAGCCCUGAUCACAUGACCUCAGGGACCUGCUGGGAAUGUAUGGAUGUAAAAGUUCACUGAUACAUGUUGGUGCUUGUCCAUGCAGAGUCCUGAAAGUCGAGGUCAAAAACUUAAAGUGGAUUCUGAAUUUAAUAGGGAGCCAGUGCAGCUGAAUCAGCAGGGGUGUGACAUGGGAGUACUGGGAGGACUUGGUCAGAAGCUUUGCAGCAGCGUUCUGAACAACUUGCAGAUGCUCCAUAGAGAGUUUACAUAAACAAGUAAACAGAGAAUUACAAUAAUCCAGACGAGAUGAAACAAAUGCAUGAAUGACAAUUUCUAAUUCGGAGCGCGAUACAAUGGGACUCAGCUUAGCAAUGUUUCUCAAGUGAUAAAAACAGGAGCGAACCAGAGAUUUAACAUGAGCGUCCAAAGUCAGGGCUGAGUCACAAGUUACACCAAGGUUCCUGAUAGAAGGUUUGGCAAAAGUAGCAAGUGGACCCACAUUUUCCAUAACACUAGGUACAAAUUUUUUAGAAGCACAAACAAGGACUACUGUCAUGGCCUGGGUCUGAUGACCCAGAGCUCAUGUAUUUCUUGUAUAUGUUUUUCCAUAUGUUAUGUUUUUGGUGGUUUUCUCUCCCUUUUUGUCCUCCUUCUUCCUGUGUGCUCCCGGAUGUUUUGGGGUCGCUGAGGGGACUGCGACCCGGAAGUGUUCCCGCACUGGAGGCUGCCGCACCUGCCGCUCAUUAGCCUUCACCAGCUGCAGCUGAGCCUUAUGAGGAGCGUCCUAUUUAAGAAGAUGGCGGAGCUCCAGUCAGUGCGGGAUUAUACUAAGUCAAACCUGAGUCGGGAGCCAGGAGCGUCGUCACGAGGGGAAAUCACGGAGCGGAAUCGGGUUUUGGAGUUGUCACUUUUUCACUGUGAUGGACACGUGCGCUGUGUGGGAUUCAUAGAGGAAUCGCCACACGAGCCACAGUGCUGGAUUUGUGUAUAGUUGUUGUUUUUGUCCACUCACCAUAAAUAAAUCCACUGUCCUUCACUAAAAGAG